ensembl:lncRNA
CCUUAAUUCUCCUCUGUUCUUCAAUAAGACACUGCUAUAGUCAUUGUGUAGAGGCCAGUCCCAUGUUCCUAUGCCUCUGGCCACCAACCAACAACAUUGUGUCCUAUCCUGAGGCUACAUUCUGUCAAGACCAGUACAGCACUGAGUAAUCUGGGCAUGGCUCAGGUGGAUCUUGGCUCUCAAAUCUCUCACAGGCUUCAAUCAAGGUGUCAGCUAGGACUGCAAGCAUCUUGACCCGUGGCUGGAAGGAAUUCUAAACUCAUUCACCUGGUUGUUGGAAGGAUUCAGCUCAUGCGCUAGUGCAAUACGGGCAUUAAAUCCUUACUGGCUGUUGGUCAGAGACUGCAUUUGAUCCUUGUCAGGUGGUUUCCUUACCACUUAGAUCAUAACUCUGCAAAAGAGAAUUUGAAAAGAGAUUGAAUGAUGCUAUGGAAAGCGAACGUCUCAGUGGUGUUCUAGGAAAUCAGAAUAAGAAGAAUCCAGAAUGAACAUCUGUGCACUGGAAAGCCAGACUACUGAGUAGCAGUUGAAGACUGAAUGCCUGGAAGCUCACUAUAGAGUCACCGGUGUGAAUCUGUAUGGGAAAGCCGAAGUGUCUGUACUGGAAGAGUAGAGUCUGCACUGGAAGUCUGAAGGAACUGGCGACCAGCAGCCAGAGGCAAUGGUGACAUGAGCUCCACCAAUGAAAGGGGAAGUCUUGCUUCUUCUUGCCCUUUCGAUUCCAUCCAGGCAACAAGCCUAUUGGUUGGUGCCACGGACAUUGGAGUGGGUCUUCCCCUCUGUUUGCAGCCCACAUGUCAAUCACAGAGCUUUGCUAAUUGCCAAGCAGUUCUGACUCAAGUCCUGUUACUAUAUCACAAUCGAUGAUCUGUCACUUCUCUAGCUUUGUUCUUCUUCAGUAAUGUGUAGCAACG